GGGAGGGUAGCUCAGUUGGUAGAGCAACGGAUUGAAAAUCCGUGAGUCAGCGGUUCAAGUCCGCUUCUUCCCACCA
rnacentral:tRNA from 1 species